rnacentral:lncRNA from 12 species
CUGAGACUUCCUGCUGGAUGAUCUGAGAAAGGAAGGCAGGCAGGGGGAAGAAUGGCAAGAAAAGAGAGUGGGUGAGGGGGGAAGAAGGGAAAGAAAGAGAAUAGGCCAACAGGCAUGGGAUGGAUUUUAUAGCUUCAGAAGAUUUCUGGCAUUUUCAAGAAUGUUUCCAUUGUCUCUACUUCACCUCCCUGAUGUAGCCAUUGGAGGGAAGUGGAAUAAAGACACCAGGGAGUGCAGGCUGCACCCCAGUUUGAGCUGCAGAUCCCAGAGGUGGAGGCCCUUGGCCCUUCAAAGGCUUUACCCAUUCAUCUCCUGCAUAUUAUUAAAGACUUUACGCAUUUAAAUAAUUUUUUUUUAAGUCGAGGUAAAUAUGCUUAGCUCCAAGAGUUGGUGAUAUGACAAACUGAUUCUCUGCUACAUUGUCAGGAUGAGGACUGGGAAGUGAAGAGGGUCCCUAUGCACAGACUCUCAGGUCCCCUCCUCCUCCACCCAGAGUACUUCUACUCAUCUGUGUUUGAACUACUGGGCCUUACCAGGUUCUUCGUAGGUUUAGAAAGAAAACUGAGCCUGGAUGCAAGUCUCACUGGGCCUCCAGCUUGCUGUGUGACCUUGGACAGGCCCCUUGCCUUCCCUGGGCCUCAGCUGCCCCUUGGGGAAAGGAGAGGUUGGCUUCUGAGUUCUGUGCAUCUCUGCCUUAGGAGGUGGCACACACAGCUGGGGACUGGUGGAGUCUUCUUUGGCCACCAGUUCCCAAGGCAAGGGAGAGAGGAGCCAAGCUUCCCUUCCUCUGCCAGAGGAAUAGGUCCUCGGGCUGGGUCUGGGCCUGCAGCCAAGGGGAAACACAGACAAUACACUGGAGUCACCCUGACCGCUUGGGACACGUUGUGCAACUUCCGCCCCGGGCCUGCAAAUAAGACUUUGGCCCUUGGACUUCGAGCUCUGAGCAGCCCUCUCCCCUUCCCAGGACUGAGGCCCUCCAGUCUAGGAGACAAGCCUGGGGAGUGGACAGGGUGCUUUCUUAGUCCCAAAGGUGGCCAGGUGGCUCUGAGUUCUCACCAAGGAGGGUUUUACCAAAAGGGGUCAGAACACAUGCUGCGGGAGCAAAUGAAGGAGGCCAGCAGGGCUGGUUUUAAAAUUCAAGGCUUUGGCCUGAGUGUCAGAGAUGAUCCUGAAGCUGGUGGAAAAGCUUGCUUAAUGCCUGCUCUGUCCAGGCCCUCUGCAGGGCUGGCAGGAUGGGGUGCUUUUUGCUGCCUUCACUACCUUCUCUACCCCCACUCCUCGCAGUCCCUCCCAGCCGUGAUGCAGACAAGCCCUGUGUGCAGCAUAGUAAAGGGACAGCAUCGAAGCAUCACGGUACACUCCACCUUUGCUGCAAAGGGCAGUGUCAGCACAAGAAGGUUCUGUUUGCAGAGAGAAGGUUCACUGCAAGGAGCUCAAAGAAGCUAUAGCCCCAUCCAGCCCCACUGUGAUGUGCCCACAGGACUCAGGUUCUGA